CAGAGGGGGCAAGCGUUGUUCGGAAUUACUGGGCGUAAAGGGCGCGUAGGCGGCCUGCUAAGUCGAACGUGAAAUCCCCGGGCUCAACCCGGGAACUGCGUUCGAGACUGGUGGCUUGAAUUCGGGAGAGGGAUGCGGAAUUCCAGGUGUAGCGGUGAAAUGCGUAGAUAUCUGGAGGAACACCGGUGGCGAAGGCGGCAUCCUGGACCGACAUUGACGCUGAGGCGCGAAAGCCAGGGGAGCAAACGGGAUUAGAUACCCCGGUAGUCCUGGCCCUAAACGAUGAAUGCUUGGUGUGGCGGGUAUCGAUCCCUGCUGUGCCGAAGCUAACGCAUUAAGCAUCCCGCCUGGGGAGUACGGUCGCAAGGCUG
rnacentral:rRNA from 1 species